UACCCGCUGAACUUAAGCAUAUCAAUAAGCGGAGGAAAAGAAACUAACAAGGAUUCCCCUAGUAACGGCGAGUGAAGAGGGAAAAGCCCAAAUUUGUAAUCUGGCUCUUUUAUAGGAGUCCGAGUUGUAAUUUUGAGAACUGUUUUCUGUGCUGGACCAUAUACAAGUCUGUUGGAAAACAGCAUCAUUGAGGGUGAUAAUCCCGUAGAUGAUAUGGACUACCAGUGCAAUAUGAUACAGUCUCUAAGAGUCGAGUUGUUUGGGAAUGCAGCUCAAAGUGGGUGGUAAAUUCCAUCUAAGGCUAAAUAUAGGUGAGAGACCGAUAGCAAACAAGUACCGUGAGGGAAAGAUGAAAAGAACUUUGGAAAGAGAGUUAACAGUACGUGAAAUUGUUAAAAGGGAAACAUUUGAAGUUAGACUUGUUAUUAUUGGUUCAGCUCCUCUUUUUUAAUUAGGAGUUUAUUCCAAUGGUUGACAGACCAGCAUCAAUUUUUGAGUGUUAGAUAAGGGUCUUGGAGAAUGUGGCAACUUUGGUUGUGUUAUAGCUCCUGGCUUGAUAUAAUGCUUAAGAUUGAGGAACGCAGUGAGCUUUAUUUUUUGAAGUGGAUUCUUUUGAAUCUUCAUCACUACGGAUGUUGGUGUAAUAGCUUUAAAUG
rnacentral:rRNA from 2 species